UCGAUAGGCCAGAGAUGUAAGCGUAGUAAUACGUUCAGUUGACUGGUACUAAUUGCUCGAUAGGCUUGAUUUGAUCCAG
rnacentral:rRNA from 1 species